UUCACUCCGGUGAUGGUAAGGAACGCUGAUGGAAGCAUUUCAACACUGCCGAAUUGUUUGCACUCUCUUGUGGGCAGCACUCAGACCCUCCAGCUUGAUUCGUGUACAUAUUAUGAUCAUGGCCAUUUUGAAUCCUUCAACUGCAAGAAUGUCCUGCUAGAUGGGGAUGGUUGUAAGCCCUUUGGUUCUUCCACACCUCCAUCGAUCCCCGCUAAAGACAAGGGGGUGCUACCCAUACCGACACCAGUUAAGCGCGUUGAAGCGAUCGUAAGAUUCGGAUUCAGAAGAAAUAGUUGACAGUGACCCACAUGAAAGUCAGUUGGCUGGUGAUGGGAUUGGGGAUGACGGUGGCAUGCGUUAGCUAAAGUUUGGUCUAUGUGUUAUCCAAUAAGAUAGGAAGGCGUGCGAGAGUUUAUGCGUUUUUCCUU